rnacentral:rRNA from 1 species
UACGUAGGGUGCAAGCGUUGCCCGGAAUUAUUGGGCGUAAAGGGCUCGUAGGCGGUUUGUCGCGUCUGCUGUGAAAACUCGGGGCUUAACCCCGGGCCUGCAGUGGGUACGGGCGGACUAGAGUUCGGUAGGGGAGACUGGAAUUCCUGGUGUAGCGGUGAAAUGCGCAGAUAUCAGGAGGAACACCGGUGGCGAAGGCGGGUCUCUGGGCAGUAACUGACGCUGAGGAGCGAAAGCGUGGGGAGCGAACAGG